rnacentral:rRNA from 1 species
AUUGAACGCUGGCGGCAUGCCUUACACAUGCAAGUCGAACGGUAACAGGUCUUCGGAUGCUGACGAGUGGCGAACGGGUGAGUAAUACAUCGGAACGUGCCCGAUCGUGGGGGAUAACGCAGCGAAAGCUGUGCUAAUACCGCAUACGAUCUACGGAUGAAAGCGGGGGAUCUUCGGACCUCGCGCGGACGGAGCGGCCGAUGGCAGAUUAGGUAGUUGGUGAGGUAAAGGCUCACCAAGCCGACGAUCUGUAGCUGGUCUGAGAGGACGACCAGCCACACUGGGACUGAGACACGGCCCAGACUCCUACGGGAGGCAGCAGUGGGGAAUUUUGGACAAUGGGCGCAAGCCUGAUCCAGCCAUGCCGCGUGCAGGAUGAAGGCCUUCGGGUUGUAAACUGCUUUUGUACGGAACGAAAAGGUUCUUUCUAAUAAAGAGAGCUCAUGACGGUACCGUAAGAAUAAGCACCGGCUAACUACGUGCCAGCAGCCGCCGUAAAAC